UACGUAGGGUCCGAGCGUUGUCCGGAGUUACUGGGCGUAAAGCGCGCGCAGGCGGCGGUGCUGGCCCGGCGUGAAAGCCCCCGGCUCAACCGGGGAGAGUCGUCGGGGACCGCACCGCUUGAGGGCGGUAGGGGCUGGUGGAAUGCCUGGUGUAGUGGUGAAAUGCGUAGAGAUCAGGCAGAACACCUGGGGCGAAGGCGGCCAGCUGGGCCGGCCCUGACGCUGAGGCGCGAAGGCGUGGGGAGCGAACGGG
rnacentral:rRNA from 1 species